rnacentral:rRNA from 1 species
ACUCCUACGGGAGGCAGCAGUGGGGAAUUUUGGACAAUGGGGGAAACCCUGAUCCAGCCAUGCCGCGUGCAGGAUGAAGGCCUUCGGGUUGUAAACUGCUUUUGUACGGAACGAAAAGGUCCUUUCUAAUAAAGAGGGCUCAUGACGGUACCGUAAGAAUAAGCACCGGCUAACUACGUGCCAGCAGCCGCGGUAAU